GAAACAUAUUCUAGUCGUGUUCGGCUCACAGCCGAAAGGUUCUGGGUUCGAUUCCCAAUGUCCAGUCUA